ensembl:misc_RNA Y_RNA Y RNA
GGUUGGUCCAAGGGCAGUGGUAUUUACAAUUUAUUGAUCACAACUAGUUUAUAGAUUUAUUUGUUCCUUCUCCACUCCCACUGCUUCACCUGACUGGUAUUGG